rnacentral:rRNA from 1 species
GACGUAGGAUGCAAGCGUUGUCCGGAAUUAUUGGGCGUAAAGAGUUCGUAGGUGGUUUGCCAAGUCUGACGUUAAAGCCCGAAGCUCAACUUCGGUUCGGCAUCGGAAACUGGCAGGCUAGAGUCUGGUAGAGGCAAGGGGAAUUCCCGGUGUAGCGGUGAAAUGCGUAGAGAUCGGCAGGAACACCAGUGGCGAAGGCGGCCACCUAGCCCGCACCUGACGCUGAGGCGCGAAAGCGUGGGGAGCGAACUGG